AAUAUUGGACAAUGGGCGAAAGCCUGAUCCAGCAAUGCCGCGUGAGUGAUGAAGGCCUUAGGGUUGUAAAGCUCUUUUACCAGGGAUGAUAAUGACAGUACCUGGAGAAUAAGCUCCGGCUAACUCCGUGCCAGCAGCCGCGGUAAUACGGAGGGAGCUAGCGUUGUUCGGAAAUACUGGGCGUAAAGCGCACGUAGGCGGCGCCGUAAGACAGGGGUGAAAUCCCGGGGCUCAACCCCGGAACUGCCUUUGAAACUGCAGUGCUAGGAUCUUGGAGAGGUCAGUGGAAUUCCGAGUGUAGAGGUGAAAUUCGUAGAUAUUCGGAAGAACACCAGUGGCGAAGGCGACUGACUGGACAAGUAUUGACGCUGAGGCGCGAAAGCGUGGGGAGCAAACAG
rnacentral:rRNA from 1 species